rnacentral:rRNA from 1 species
UCCUACGGGAGGCAGCAGUGGGGAAUCUUCCGCAAUGGGCGCAAGCCUGACGGAGCAACGCCGCGUGAGUGAAGAAGGCCUUCGGGUCGUAAAGCUCUGUCUUUAGGGAAGAAAAACUAUGGUGAAAAUAUUGCCAUAGUCUGACGGUACCUGAGGAGGAAGCUCCGGCUAACUACGUGCCAGCAGCCGCGGUAAUACGUAGGGAGCGAGCGUUGUCCGGAAUUACUGGGCGUAAAGGGCGUGUAGGCGGGAAUUUAAGUAAGGUGUGAAAACUCCGGGCUCAACUUGGAGACUGCACUUUAAACUGGAUUUCUUGAGGGCAGGAGAGGAAAGUGGAAUUCCUAGUGUAGCGGUGAAAUGCGUAGAUAUUAGGAGGAACAUCAGUGGCGAAGGCGACUUUCUGGUCUGUAACUGACACUGAGGCGCGAAAGCGUGGGGAGCAAACAGGAUUAGAUACCCUGGUAGUCCACGCCGUAAACGAUGAGUGCUAAGUGUUAGAGGGUUUCCGCCCUUUAGUGCUGAAGUUAACGCAUUAAGCACUCCGCCUGGGGAGUACGGCCGCAAGGCUGAAACUCAAAUGAAUU